rnacentral:rRNA from 1 species
CACCUGUUUAUCAAAAACAUUGUAUUAAGUUUAAUUUAAUAUAGGAUCUGCUCAAUGAUUUAUUAAAUAGCUGCAGUAUUUUGACUGUGCAAAGGUAGCAUAAUAAUUAGUCUUUUAAUUGAGGACUUGAAUGAAAGAUUUGAUGAGAAAUAAACUUUAUUAUUUAUAUAAUUAAAAUUUUAUUUUUAAGUAAAAAAGCUUAAAUUUUUUAAAGGGACGAUAAGACCCUAUAAAACUUUAUAAAUUUUAAUUUUAAUUUUUUUGGGUUAAUAAAUAUUUUAUUUUUAAAAUUUAUUUUAUUGGGGUGAUAAAAAAAAUUAAUAAACUUUUUUUAAAAUUUAACAUUAUUUAAUGAAUUAUUGAAUUAAAAUUUUUAAUUAAAGGAAAAAGUUACUUUAGGGAUAACAGCGUAAUUAAUUUUUUAAGUUCAAAUUUAAAAAUUAGUUUGCGACCUCGAUGUUGAAUUAAGAUUAAUCUUAGGUGCAAAAUUUUAAGUAUUAGGUCUGUUCGACCUUUAAAUUCU